AUUGAACGCUGGCGGUAUGCUUAACACAUGCAAGUCGAACGGAAACGAAACUAGCUUGCUAGUAGGCGUCGAGUGGCGGACGGGUGAGUAACGCGUAGGAAUCUGCCUGAUAGUGGGGAUAGCCCGAAGAAAUUCGGAUUAAUACCGCAUAAUCUAUUUGUAGUAAAGUGGGGGACUUUCGAGCCUCACGCUAUCAGAUGAGCCUGCGUAAGAUUAGCUUGUUGGUAGGGUAAAAGCCUACCGAGGCAACGAUCUUUAGCUGGUCUGAGAGGAUGAUCAGCCACAUCGGGACUGAGACACGGCCCGAACUCCUACGGGAGGCAGCAGUGGGGAAUAUUGGACAAUGGGGGCAACCCUGAUCCAGCAAUACCGCGUGUGUGAAGAAGGCCUGAGGGUUGUAAAGCACUUUCAAUUGUGAAGAAAAAGUUAACGGUUAAUAACCGUUGACCUU
rnacentral:rRNA from 1 species